GAAAAUUUUUGAUAUGAGAAAAGUAUAUAAUUAGUUUUAAUGAAAUAUUAAUAAUUUAAUGUGAUACAGUAAAUAAAUUUAAUAAUUUAGGAACAAAUUCAAUUCAGUUUACAAGCAACUUUCUCAUAAGAGAUACUCAUGAAAGCCCAAAUUUAAUUCAGCCAACCUAAAAUGCAAAAAGAAGAUACAGAGGUCAUGCUUACUUCUGCUGAAGUGGCAAAUAAUUCAGCUUGCAAAUGAUAAUAAAUCAGCAGGAAAAGCAGCUAUUGAAGAUUAUUAUUAUAUGAAUAUAAUAUUCCCUUUUUUCAACCCUUUAAAUAAACAAUCAAUAAAUCUAUUUUAGAUGAUUGUCAUUUUCCAAUAGAUAUACUGUUAAUAUUUUAUGAAUGCAUAUUGUAUUAUGAUUGUGUUAUUAUAAUAUAUAUUAUUCAGUGCAAAUAUAAAUGAUCAAUCUGUCUAUGCAGUG